rnacentral:rRNA from 1 species
GACGAACGCUGGCGGCGUGCUUAACACAUGCAAGUCGAACGGAAAGGCCCUGCUUUUGUGGGGUGCUCGAGUGGCGAACGGGUGAGUAACACGUGAGUAACCUGCCCUUGACUUUGGGAUAACUUCAGGAAACUGGGGCUAAUACCGGAUAGGAGCUCCUGCUGCAUGGUGGGGGUUGGAAAGUUUCGGCGGUUGGGGAUGGACUCGCGGCUUAUCAGCUUGUUGGUGGGGUAGUGGCUUACCAAGGCUUUGACGGGUAGCCGGCCUGAGAGGGUGACCGGCCACAUUGGGACUGAGAUACGGCCCAGAAUCCUACGGGAGGCAGCAGUGGGGAAUAUUGCACAAUGGGCGGAAGCCUGAUGCAGCAACGCCGCGUGCGGGAUGACGGCCUUCGGGUUGUAAACCGCUUUCGCCUGUGACGAAGCGUGAGUGACGGUAAUGGGUGAAGAAGCACCGGCUAACUACGUG